AUUGCGCUCCCUGACUACCUCCUUCGCUUCCUCUUUCACUCUCACACCGUCACUCCACCACAACCACCAUUGCUGUUAGCUUCACUUAACCCCACCACAACAUCUACACCAUUGCCUUAGCUUCACUAAGGUGUUGUUAGAGGAUUGAGAUUAAAGGGUGAGGUACUCCUUAAUACGAAUCAUCGAGGCUCAACUGAAAUGAGACUUGUUUAUGGUUGCUUCAAUACUUUGGGCAGCUGUUCUCAGCCUUAAGGUUGACGAGAAAAUUAUGAAGAAUCCAUAUAUAAGGAAGGAGCUCAAUACUCGUUUCCGUGUUGGAAAGUGUAAGGCAGGCUGCCCAGGCCACUGCAUCAGCCUAGGCAGGCUGCCCGGCCACUGCAGCAGCCAAGGCAAGCUGCCCAGGCAGCUGCAGCAGCCAAGGCAGGCAUCCUAGGCAGCUGCAGUAGCCCAGGCAGGCAGCAACCCAGCAGCCUCUACAUGCACUUUUGCAAGAUUCAAAGAGAAGGCCCGUUAACAAGCAAGGAAAUCAAUGAAGUUCGCGACAUGUGGGCGUUUUUCGUGACAUUUGAUGGCAUCUAGAAUUGUCGGAGUGGUUAUAUUAGUUUGUUAGCUUGACUUUAUUAAUUAGAUAUUAUGAACAUUAUUAUUUUAAGUACGUAGUUAUAUAUGUUUUUAAUAUAUUAACGAACAUUAGUUUAUAAGUAGUAUGUAGUAUUUGUAAUUGUUAUCUUAAUAUAUUUUGGUGUAAUUAAAUAUUAUCGUUCAUUAAAUAUAUUAACGAUGUUUAUUUUAA